rnacentral:rRNA from 1 species
AACAAGGUCUCCGUUGGUGAACCAGCGGAGGGAUCAUUAUCGAGUUAUUCAACUCCCAAACCCUAUGUGAACUUACCACUUGUUGCUUCGGCGCGCGCUUCGGCGCCGCCGAGGACACUUAAACUCUUUGUUUUUAUAAGCAUUUCUGAGUGGCCGAAAGGCAAAAAUACAAAUGAAUCAAAACUUUCAACAACGGAUCUCUUGGUUCUGGCAUCGAUGAAGAACGCAGCGAAAUGCGAUAAGUAAUGUGAAUUGCAGAAUUCAGUGAAUCAUCGAAUCUUUGAACGCACAUUGCGCCCGCCAGCAUUCUGGCGGGCAUGCCUGUUCGAGCGUCAUUUCAACCCUCGAGCCCGACUCUUUUGAGGACGGCUCGGCGUUGGGGGACGGCAGACUCCCCCCGGCAUCUCGCCGGGGACGCCGCCCCCGAAAUCUAGUGGCGGCCCUCCGAGGCGACCUCUGCGUAGUAACUUGUUCUCGCACCGGAAAGCCCAGAGCGGCCACGCCGUAAAACCCCAACUCUUUUCAGGUUGACCUCGAAUCAGGUAGGACUACCCGCUGAACUUAAGCAUAUCAAU